AUAGACCUAAUAAAAUAUGGACAGGCCCUGAGAGAGAGAGGUGACGAGUAGUACGUUAGAAAGAGAUGGACAUAUGGUAGAAAACGUCAAAAUCAUAUGUUUAUUGUUUACUGUUCAGCUACUGUGUUUUCAAUCGAUAUUUCAUUCUCCUCACAAGCAAUUUAGCUGAUAACUAGGUUUUUAGAAUCGACUGCUACAUGGUAAUAAAGCGAAAGAGAUUUAUUUUUGGAAAUAAUAGACCAAUAAGGGAGUUUCUUUGUUAUUUCAUGUACAUAUAAGACAUAAUUUACAAUCACAAGGAAUAUACCUAAUCUACUUCCUAUAUUUCAUAAGGCCACAGCAAGAAUUUGUAGAGGCAUGUCCGAAGAAAAUACUAAACUCCAAUCUGGAUUUAAUAUUAGAAAGAGAAGAGAUGUGAAUCAUGUUGAUAUUCAGUAAGCCUUGUGACAUCGGCAAACUCAAAACUCAAUAUCUUCUGUUGAUCAGUGUCA